rnacentral:misc_RNA from 1 species
AACGCACAUUGCGCCUUCUGGUAAUCCGGGAGGCAUGCCUGUCUGAGCGUCAUUACAUCAUUCAAACCUCAAGUUUUGAUGUACUUGGUGGAUUGGUUUUGGAAGUAUACUUGUGCUUUCGCGCCAGUGUCUUCUGUAACGUAUUGACGAAGUGCCCUGACCGGCAUCUUAGUUGUAGUAAAGAUUCAUUCUCUCUCUCAACUUUAAGACUGACGGUUUUUGGGUGUCCUACUUUUUUUUGUACCUUUUUAAAAGGUCUUCUCAAGUUUGACCUCAGAUCAGGUAGGAAUACCCGCUGAACUUAA